UGGGCCUGUAGGGCGCGGUGGGCCCGGGCCGCAGGGGAAGCGGCCCGGGCCCGCCGGUUCAGUUCGGCAGGGCGGCC
rnacentral:tRNA from 1 species